UACGAAGGGGGCUAGCGUUGCUCGGAAUCACUGGGCGUAAAGCGCACGUAGGCGGUUUGUUAAGUCGGGGGUGAAAUCCUGGAGCUCAACUCCAGAACUGCCUUCGAUACUGGCGAUCUUGAGUCCGGGAGAGGUGAGUGGAACUCCGAGUGUAGAGGUGAAAUUCGUAGAUAUUCGCAAGAACACCAGUGGCGAAGGCGGCUCACUGGCCCGGUACUGACGCUGAGGUGCGAAAGCGUGGGGAGCAAACAGG
rnacentral:rRNA from 1 species